UCCCUGGUGGUCCAGUGGCUAAGAUGCCACACUCCCAGGGAAGGGGGCCCAGGUUCAAUUCCUGGUCAGGGAA
rfam:TPA: Bos taurus chromosome 19, whole genome shotgun sequence.